ensembl:lncRNA
AAAAGGGAGAGAGGAGAGAGGAUGCCAAAAGGAGAGAGAGGAGAGAGGCUGCCAAGAGGAGAGAGGAUGCCAGAAGGAGAGGAGGAGAGAGGAUGCCAGAAGGAGAGAGGAUACCAGAAGGAGAGAGAGGAGGAGAGGAUGCAAGAAGGAGAGAGGAGGAGAGAGGAUGCCAAAAGGAGAGAGAGGAGAGAGGAUGCCAGAAGGAGAGAGAGGAGGAGAGGAUGCCAGAAGGAGAGAGGAUGCCAGAAGGAGAGAGGAGGAGAGAGGAUGCUAGAAGGAGAGAGAGGAGGAGAGGAUGCCAGGAAGAGAGAGGAUGAGAGAGGAUGCCAAAAGGAGAGAGGAUGACCGAAGAAGAGAGAGGAGGAGAGGAUGCCAGAAGGAGAGGAGGAGAGAGGAUGCCAAAAGGAGAGAGAGGAGAGAGGCUGCCAGAUGGAGUGAGAGGAGAGAGGAUGCCAGAAGGAGUUGAGGAGAGAGGAUGCCAGAAAGAGAGAGAAGGAGAGAGGAUGCCAAAAGGAGAGAGAGGAGAGAGGAUGCCAGACGGAGUGAGAGGAGAGAGGAUGCCAGACGGAGUGAGAGGAGAGAGGAUGCCAGAAGGAGAGAGAAGGAGAGAGGAUGCCAAAAGGAGAGAGAGGAGGGAGGAUGCCAAGAGGAGAGAGGAGAGAGGAUGCCAGAAGGAGAGGAGGAGGGAGGAUGCCAGAAGAGAGAGAGAGGAGAGAGGAUGCCAGAAGGAGAGAGGGGAGGAGAGGAUGCCAGGAGGGGGAGAGAGGAUGCCAAAAGGAGAGAGAGGAGAGAGGAUGCCAGAUUGAGAGAGAGGAGAAAGGAUGCCAGAAGGAGAGGAGGAGAGAGGAUGCCAGAAGGAGAGAGAAGGAGAGAGGAUGCCAAAAGGAGAGAGAGGAGAGAGGAUGCCAAGAGGAGAGAGGAGAGAGGAUGCCAGAAGGAGAGGAGGAGAGAGGAUGCCAGAAGGAGAGGAGGAGAGAGGAUGCCAGAAGGAGAGAGGAGAGAGGAUGCCAGAAGGAGAGAGGAGGAGAGGAUGCCAGAAGGAGAGAGGAUGCCAGAAGGAGAGAGGAGAAGAGAGAGGAUGCCAGAAGGAGAGAGAAGAGAGGAUGCCAGAAGGAGAGAGGAGAAAGGAUGCCAGAAGCAGAGAGGAGAGGAGAGAGGAUGCCAGAAGGAGAGAGGAGAGAGGAUGCCAGAAGGAGAGAGGAGAGGAGAGGAUGCCAGAAGGAGACAGGGGGAGAGGAUGCCAAAAGGAGAGAGAGGAGGAGAGGAUGCCAGAAGGAGAGAGAGGAGGAGAGAGGAUGCCAGAAGGAGAGAGGAGAGAGGAUGCCAGAAGGAGAGAGGAGAGGAGAGGAUGCCAGAAUUAGAGAGGAGGAGAGAGGAUGCCAGAAGGAAAGGAGAGGAGCGAGGAUGCCAGAAGGAGAGAGAGGAGGAGAGGAUGCCAGGAGGGGGGAGAGAGGAUGCCAAAAGGAGAGAGAGGAGAGAGGAUGCCAGACGGAGUGAGGAGAAAGGAUGCCAGAAGCAGAGAGGAGAGGAGAGAGGAUGCCAGAAGGAGAGAGGAGAGAGGAUGCCAGAAGGAGAGAGGAGAGGAGAGGAUGCCAGAAGGAGAGAGGAGAAGAGAGAGGAUGCCAGAAGGAGAGAGAAGAGAGGAUGCCAGAAGGAGAGAGGAGAAAGGAUGCCAGAAGCAGAGAGGAGAGGAGAGAGGAUGCCAGAAGGAGAGAGGAGAGAGGAUGCCAGAAGGAGAGAGGAGAGGAGAGGAUGCCAGAAGGAGACAGGGGGAGAGGAUGCCAAAAGGAGAGAGAGGAGGAGAGGAUGCCAGAAGGAGAGAGAGGAGGAGAGAGUAUGCCAAAAGGAGAGAGAGGAGAGAGGAUGCCAAAAGGAGAGAGAGGAUAGCGGAUGCCAGAAGGAGAGAGGAGGAAAGAGGAUGCCAAAAGGAGAGAGAGGAGAGAGGAUGCCAAAAGGAGAGAGAGGAGAGAGGAUGCCAAGAGGAGAGAGGAUGCCAGAAGGAGAGGAGGAGAGAGGAUGCCAGAAGGAGAGAGAGGAGGAGAGGAUGCAAGAAGGAGAGAGGAGGAGAGAGGAUGCCAAAAGGAGAGAGAGGAGAGAGGAUGCCAGAAGGAGAGAGAGGAGGAGAGAGGAUGCCAGAAGGAGAGAGGAGGGGGGAUGCCAGAAGGAGAGAGGAGAAAGGAUGUCAGAAGCAGAGAGGAGAGGAGAGAGGAUGCCAGAAGGAGAGAGGAGAGAGGAUGCCAGAAGGAGAGAGGAGAGGAGAGGAUGCCAGAAGGAGAGAGGAGGAGAGAGGAUGCCAGAAGGAAAGGAGAGGAGCGAGGAUGCCAGAAGGAGAGAGAGAA